rnacentral:rRNA from 1 species
GUCUAUGGCCAUACCACCCUGAACACGCCCGAUCUCGUCUGAUCUCGGAAGCUAAGCAGGGUCGGGCCUGGUUAGUACUUGGAUGGGAGAAAAUCCUAACAAUGGGACUUUAAAAA